rnacentral:rRNA from 1 species
UACGUAGGUGGCAAGCGUUAUCCGGAUUUACUGGGUGUAAAGGGUGCGUAGGCGGCUUUUUAAGUCAGCGGUGAAAUUUUGCAGCUUAGCUGUAACAGUGCCGUUGAUACUGGGGAGCUAGGAUUUGGUUGCUGUGGGUGGAAUGUGUGGUGUAGCGGUGAAAUGCUUAGAGAUCACACAGAAUAUCGAUUGCGAAGGCAGCUCACAAAGCCAAGAUUGACGCUGAGGCACGAAAGUGUGGGGAUCAAACAGGA